GAUCGCGGCGACGUGAGCGGUUCGCUGCCCGCGACGUCGCGAGAAGUCCACUGAACCUUAUCAUUUAGAGGAAGGAGAAGUCG
rnacentral:rRNA from 2 species